UACGAAGGGGGCUAGCGUUGCUCGGAAUCACUGGGCGUAAAGCGCACGUAGGCGGAUUGCUAAGUCAGGGGUGAAAUCCUGGAGCUCAACUCCAGAACUGCCUUUGAUACUGGCAACCUUGAGUCCGGGGGAGGUGAGUGGAACUGCGAGUGUAGAGGUGAAAUUCGUAGAUAUUCGCAAGAACACCAGUGGCGAAGGCGGCUCACUGGCCCGGUACUGACGCUGAGGCACGAAAGCGUGGGGAGCAAACAGG
rnacentral:rRNA from 1 species